AAUCAACGCUGGCGGCGUGCCUAACACAUGCAAGUCGCACGAGAAAGCGGACUUCGGUCUGCAAGUACAGUGGCGCACGGGUGAGUAACACGUGAAUUAUCUACCUUCGAGUGGGGAAUAACCUCGGGAAACCGAGGCUAAUACCGCAUAACACUUACGAGCCAAAGCAGCAAUGCGCUUGAAGAGGAGUUCGCGGCAGAUUAGUUAGUUGGCGGGGUAAUGGCCCGCCAAGACGAUGAUCUGUAUCCGGCCUGAGAGGGCGCACGGACACACUGGAACUGAAACACGGUCCAGACUCCUACGGGAGGCAGCAGUGGGGAAUUUUGCGCAAUGGGGGAAACCCUGACGCAGCAACGCCGCGUGGAGGAUGAAAUCCCUUGGGAUGUAAACUCCUUUCGAUCGGGACGAUUAUGACGGUACCGGAAGAAGAAGCCCCGGCUAACUUCGUGCCAGCAGCCGCGGUAAUAC
rnacentral:rRNA from 1 species